UAGGAAGGCAGUGGAACAUUUCAGAUGGAAAGAAGCAAUGUUGGCUGGGGAACAGUCUCAGUGGUUCAAGUCCUUCCCUGACAGCACAAGCAGAAACCGCUGAUGUGGAAUGGAAGAUGGUUUGCAAGAGUAUUUUAUGCCUCCAGCGUCCUCAGGUCUCCUUCCCAUGUUAUAACAUAGUUCAUGGGAGCUUGGAUCAUCUAGACAAACAGGUUGGCCCUCCAGUGUAUGCAGAGUCAUGGUAAUUAAACCGGAUGUGCAUGAAAUGGCAAGUGUAUUGAAAGGUUUUGGAAGAUAUGUGCUGUUACGGUUUGUAUGGCGGUUAAUUGAUUGUGACAGUCUGAGAUAUUUUAGAAGCUUAACUAAGUUAGCUCAGCAAUUCUACACUCUAGAAUGCAGAGGAGUUGCCCUAGGGCAGCUCAUUGCCUGAAAGGUUUAAAAGGGAAA